ensembl:lncRNA
UACAUUGCCGAGUGUUCAAGCAGUGUUCAAGUGAGGCAAACGCCAACCUGUAACCAAUCCAUCCAUUCCUGUGUCUCACUUCUGAUUUCUGUACAUCACUUUACUUUUUUUUUUUUUUUUUGAGACGGAGUCUCGCUCUGUGGCCCAGGCUGGAGUGCAGUGACGGGAUCUCCGCUCACUGCAAGCUCCGCCUCCCGGGUUCACGCCAUUCUCCUGCCUCAGCCUCCCGAGUAGCUGGGACUACAGGCGCCCGCCACCUCGCCCGGCUAGUUUUUUGUAUUUCUUAAUAGAGACGGGGUUUCACCGUGUUAGCCAGGAUGGUCUCGAUCUCCUGACCUUGUGAUCCGCCCGUCUCGGCCUCCCAAAGUGCCGGGAUUACAGGCUUGAGCCACCGCGCCCGGCCACUUUACUUUUUUUGUCCAUAAAUUUGUUCUGACCACGAAGCACCCCUGGAACCUCUCUGACUCUGUUGUGCUUCUGGCUCUUCUAUUUGCAAAUCAUUCAUUGCUCAGUUAAAUUCCUUUAAAUUUAAUUCAGCUGAAGUUUUUAUUUUAGCAAAUUCAACAAUUAUUCUAGGACACUAUGUCUUGUCUUCUUCUUCCUCUUUUUUUUUUUUUUUUUUUUUUGUGUGUGUGUGUGACAGAGUCUCAUUCUGUGAGACUCUGGAGUGCCCUGGUGCAAUUAUAGCUCAUUGCAGUCUCAAACUCCUGGGCUCAGUUGAUCCUCCCACCACAACCACCUGAGUAGCUGGGACUACAGGCAUGCACCACCAUGUUUGGCUAAUUUUCUGUAUUUUUUGUAGAGAUGGGGUCUUGCCAUGUUGCCCAGGCUGGUCUCAAAAUGCAGGACUGAAGCUAUCCACCUGCCUUGGCCUCCCAAAGUACUGGGAUUGCAGGCCCAUAUACAUCUGUAAUAGAAGAUCUAAUAAUGUUCUUCCCCUGGCGGCUUUCAAUUUCUUCUUUCAAGAAUUACCUGGACUGAGUUCAAUGGCAGAGCAGUACUUGGAAUGGUGGACUAUCAUAUGGACUUCAUUUUCUUGAAAUGUCACAGGUUCUAAUGUUCCAAUUUUUCUGAGCAGACAAUAGCAUGAUAUUUAAUUGUAUGGGUCAACUUGGUUAGGUUCUAGUACUCACUUAUUC